CGGAAGGCCUCGCUUGUCUCCAUG
rnacentral:miRNA from 10 species